GAUGAAGAACGCAGCGAAAUGCGAUAAGUAGUGUGAAUUGCAGAAUUCAGUGAACCAUCGAAUCUUUGAACGCACAUUGCGCCCCUUGGUAUUCCAUGGGGCAUGCCUGUUCGAGCGUCAUUUGUACCUUCAAGCUCUGCUUGGUGUUGGGUGUUUGUCUCGCCUCUGCGUGUAGACUCGCCUCAAAACAAUUGGCAGCCGGCGUAUUGAUUUCGGAGCGCAGUACAUCUCGCGCUUUGCACUCAUAACGACGACGUCCAAAAGUACAUUUUUACACUCUUGACCUCGGAUCAGGUAGGGAUACCCGCUGAACUUAAGCAUAUCAAUAAGCGGAGGA
rnacentral:misc_RNA from 1 species